rnacentral:rRNA from 1 species
UACGUAGGCAGCGAGCGUUGUUCGGAAUUACUGGGCGUAAAGAGUGUGUAGGCGGUGCUCUAAGUUCGGUGUGAAAUCUCCUGGCUCAACUGGGAGGGUGCGCCGGAAACUGGAGUGCUUGAGCGUGGGAGAGGAAAGCGGAAUUCCUGGUGUAGCGGUGAAAUGCGCAGAUAUCAGGAGGAACACCGAUGGCGAAGGCAGGUCUCUGGGCUGUAACUGACGCUGAGGAGCGAAAGCAUGGGGAGCGAACAGG